UGAAAAGUCAAGGCCUGCCCUGCCCUGGCAAAAGCAGUCCUUUGACUGGAGGGAAAAGCAGCACCAAAACGAGCCGCGAGCACGCUUGGGGUGGACUUGCUGCGGUAAUAAACAACAGUAAAGAGUACUUGUAGCUACAGCAGCCUCUUCUGAGACCUCGUUGCCCUCCCGCCCGCCCGCCCACAGGGUCGCAGCACUACACGGCCCAGAUCCCUUCGCGGCCCGAGCGCACGCAAACUGCCCGAGCCCCCGUGAGCACCAGGUCGACGAGGGCGGACCCGCCAAGGGGGGCGGGGACGAGGGCAAACGACAGACGAGACAGCCAAUCGAGACGCGGGGUCGGCCGGCGGCGAUCUGACGGCCCAAUGGGAGCCGCGGAGGGCCUGGCCGAGUGGAGGAAGCGACAACGGGCGUUGUCGUGGCUGCCGAGAUUAUUGGGGCGCGGGCGGCGUGGCGGCGCCAUUACUGUCUUCGGCAAGGUCCCUGGCAAGGCGCUUCCCCGCCAACGUCGUCUACGAGGACGAGAAGGAGAAAGCACCCGUAGCAUUGGAUGUGUCAGUACCUCCCUUCUGACCUGGAGAUCAAGUCUGUCCUUGGACCUGGAAGGAUGAACCUUUGAAAGAGAGGUGGAAAGGACCCUGUAUGGUAUUGUUAGUAACUAACACAGCUGUGAAACUUAAGGGAGUAAUUUCCUGGAUCCACUAUGCUAGAUUAAAGUACAGAGACUCGGUAGAAAUCAAAAGAGAUCACUUCUUUAACACUAAAACUUAAUGAACUGCACUUGGACUGAAAUAGAAUCUUAUAUAGAAUUUGAUUGCAUUCAAGGAGGUUUGUUAAUAUUCAAUGUAGCAUUAAUAUUAGCCUGUUUUCUUUGUAGAUAUCUGUUUAAAUAUGUAUUAGAGUUACAUAUGUCUUUGCCCGUUAUAUGGUACAGUAAGUUCACAGACUGUUAAAUCAGGAGAAUCCAUGAACCCAAAAUGUACAUUUUAUGAUGUUCCAGAAGACCAUGCAUAUAGCUGCCAAGACCAAUUGCUGGGUAUGCACACAUUUCACAGAAUAUUCAAAUAAAGGGAUUCCUAUAUUAAGAAUACCUCUUCCUAUUAAUAUAACUUGACCACUUUGGGGAAAACACUUCAUUUGAAUGUUGAUCAAUCUAAAAUAAUUAUGACUGAGUUAGAGGAGAUUUGGAAACAUACUACCAUUUUGCAUGAGGUACAGAAAAACAAUACCUCUUAAGGAUUUCAAGAAGUUUGGACAUAAUUGAUGUCCUGAAUUCCUGAUUUACAGAUGUGGAUUAAGAAGUUGAUUGUAUUUAUUGUAAUAGCAAUUGCUAUAUUUGUAUAUUUGUAUGUUAUGUUGCAAUGUGUAAUGAAGUGUUGUGUUGCAGUCACUCACUAAAAGAGUUUAGAAAAGGUAGGACUUAUUCGAUAUAUAGAUGCAUACAAAUAAGUCCUAAAGGAGGGAAUUGUUAUUACCACUUAAAAGAAUGAAUCCCAUCUGCAAUUGCUAACCUAAAGAUAUGUAAAUCCUUUUAGUUUUAUGUCAGUCUAUUCAUAUAACAAAGAGUGACUUGCAAAACAAUUAGUUGAGUCUUGCUUUAACACAUAUCUCGAGACUGUUGGAUAAAGUGUCCUUUAGCUGAACAUUGCACAUUAUAUGCUAAAAGGAUUAUGUAAUGUGAUAUGCAAAUGUGUGACCAGUUGACUCUUUAGUACUGCCCUGAGUAGUGAUAAGAUUUUGUAUAUAAUGCCUAUUAUUUUCUUUCUGGUGUGCUGCCUUUAUUCCAGCAUCCAGGCUUGUGCAACUCUGUAACAAACAAUCUCUCAUCUCUGUGUGCUACAGUUUGGCUCAUUUGUAUGGACACUGGGUGACAGAACCUUGUUUUUGGGACAGCAUGGGGUCAAUGCUUUUUUCAUGCUGCAAGUAGCAAAGUUAGCACUGUUGAUACAAGUCAUUAGGGCAGUAGUAUCAAUACCUGAUCUCCUGACUUGAGUGUGACUCACAUAGCAGUAUGGGCACAGGCUAGGUACUGAGUUUUCACAUUUAUGGCAUUUACUGAGUUUGCAUAUCUGGGUUGAGGUACUUUUCUAACGCAUUUUUAGCUCAAGUCUGUAAUAAUGUAGUCCUGUAAUACAGUAUUGCUAUUUCUAGUAACAGUCCAUAAGCUUUAUACUGAGUUUGCAAGGCCUCAGGACAGGUGUGUCAGGCCUCCUCUGCCUGAAAUUUUUUUGACAUGGCUACAGCUUUGUAUUACUUAGUUUAGCUGUGACAGCCAUUUAUCUAAAUAACUACAUGUCUGUGACCAAAUUUUUACUUUUAUCUUUGUGUGAUACAACCAUAGUUUUAUAUAGAUAGCAAUAAGAAUCAGUUGUUCUAGGUAGAAUGAGAUAUUUACAACUAACACAAUAAUGUAGAGAAAUAUAGGCCCAGUAUGACAGCAGAGGCCUCCAAGAAGUGGAGACAGAGGAUGCAGCAUAGAUGUAUACAUGCAUGGCAUGAUAAAAUAUGGGGCAUACGCCGGCAUAGGAGAUCCCACAGCUAUAAAAAAGUCACCUGUGGUCACUUAAAAAAACCCGUGGACCUAGAGCUGGACAAAACUAGUUCCAGGGGUAACAAAACAAACAAAGAAAUAAUAUCUAACAUACAUAAGUGGCAAGAUAUAUGCCCUGUUUCCCCAAAAAUAAGUCCUAGCAUGAUUUUUCAGGAUUUUUGAGGAUGCUCGAAAUAUAAGCCCUACUUCAAAAUUAUGCCCUAGUUACAGUUCACAAAAAAAGUCAAUUUAAACAGUGUCCAGGCAGCUAUACAUAUAAAAAAGUAAUAGGUUUUGGAGCAAAAAUUAAUAGAAGACCCUGUCUUAUUGUCAGGGUUUAAAGCAAAGCAACAAUAAACCAUGACAGAUGCUGUUACCCCCUCACCCUCUCCCCACCCUCUCCUUUAGAUAGGAAAGAUGAUAAGGAAGAUAAGGAGGAAGGAAGAGAGACUUAGACUUCAAGUUGGAAGGGUUUUAAAGGUUUUACUAAUGCUACUAAUAAAUAGAGAAAAUAUACAAAAUAUACAAAACCAAACUUGAAUGCCUGAUAUGGAGUUGGUGUCACUCCAGCAGCAGCAGAGCUAGUAUCUGGCUUGGAUCCAGCAGCUGCAGGGCAGGCACCUGGAAGUCAUGGACGGGACUUCACAGCAAACCGGAAACUGGAUUUCAGGGAUGCAGGGCCUCGGGCUUAUAGAUCACAGGCAGACAGGUAGGGUACUCUUCAGAUGCCGGCCACGGUUGAAGAGAGCGAGACCCUCGUGAUCCUCCUCUUAUAUAGAAUGUAUGACAAUUAUGGGAUGGAAUACUUGGUCAGUUUUAGUCACCUGUUCCGUCCACCCCUCCUGCAAAUAUGUCCCGUUAUCAGUUAACCUUGGUUACCAUAGUAAUAAAUCUAAACAUGAGCUUCUUCAGCAUUCCGUUGGUCAUCUUAUCAGCAUUGAGUACAGUGUCCGAGAAAAAAAUGUGCAGCUAACUUCAGGAAAGUGCAGUUACUUGGAAGAACUUAGCUGAAAGGAAAAAUUCACUAAAAGAGAAACUGGUCUUGUUUUUAACAAAACCAGGACACUUAUUUUUGGGGAAACAGGGUACUAAUUUUAGAUGUAACCUGGAGCUUCAGAGCAAUGAAGAAGGAGUAAGGUAUAAAAACAUGUUAGCAAACAAGUGACUAUAAGGGGAUACUAGAGGGAGGAAGAAGAAACCAUCAACAUGAACAUCAUAUUUCUCCUGGCAAAGGACUCCAGCUGCUGACAGCUUACUGUAACUCCCCCCUUCCCACCACCAACACCAGAAUCUGACCCUAGGGCUCAGAGAAGCAAUGAAAGGGUGAGCAUAACACCAAGAAGAGGUGUAGAAACUAUGUGUGUGUAUGUGCACAUGUGUGUGUUGCAUUUAGUACUCUAUCUGCAUUUAUUAUUCUCUUUUUUCCUGUAAUAAUUAGAUCUAGACUAAUGAUAAUGGUUCAAUUAGACUGUUAAGAUUUCCAUUAUACUAAGUUAUUACAUUUACAUAAUUUAAAUAAAAGUAUUAUAUAUUAAACAUAUUCAUAACUAAUAUAUAUAUAUAUAUAUGAAAAUUGAAGUUGUGCUUCCUCUUUUAGCCGUAGACAAGAUUUUGAAUGUAACAAGGCCAAGAGCUAGAAAUUGCAUUCUAUUCCCCUGCCCGAAGAGAAUUGUCCCACUGAUAAGGUAAAUGCACCUAUCAGUCUCAUGGAUGUAGCUGACUAUAAACUCAUCAAUGGUAAUUUGGAAAAGAAAUUUGUCUUGCAAAAUUUUAUUCCAACCAGGUGGAAUAUGCAGAGAGUUCUUUUGAAUUCAUCUAUAUUUUGACCUCUAAUCUGUAAGAACCCAAAAUAAGAAUUCCACUUGAGACAAGGAUCAUGUAAAUAGUUGCUUUCAUAAAAUAAAGGCCAUAACACUUAUGGGAAGAACUAGCCCAGGGAUUCUGUUCCAAGAGUUCCUUUCUUGACUAACCCAUUUUUCUCAAUAUUCAGGGAUUCUUAAAGGGGAGGAAAGCAUUGUAAUAGGAAAGCAGACACUGCUUCUCAAGACCAAUAAUAGACCAGGACUAAACUACUGUACUUGAGGUUAAUAUUGGACCGGUCUUUUAGCAUGGUCUAUAAAAUAGCAUAUUUGUACUAGUAUUAGCAGUCUAGAGCUGAGUUUUCUUAAACUGAAAACUGGUCUAAGAAAAGCAACAUUGAAAAAAUGUUAAAAUUACAUUUAAAUUUUUCAUCUACAAUGAUUAGAACAUUCAGACAGAACCAAGUUAAAAUAAUACUUCUCUACUUUUCUCCUCUACAGGCUCACUUAUUCCUAUGACAUCUGCUACUGCUUUACUUAACACAUCGCUAUAGAUGACAUGAUUUCAAUACUGAAGGUGGAAGUCAAGUUUCACAUGGCAAUAGGUCAAGACAGAUUCCAUAUUUUAGUCAUGAACAACCUACUUUGGUUAUAAGCAGCAUAACACACAGUAUUUAAGUAGCAGUUGGUUACAAACAAAAAGUUUUACAACUAGCUCACUGCAUCAGGACUAAAGCUGGGAGACCAAGAAACUAUUAAUUCUUAAAUAAACUGGUAAAUCACACAAGUUUAAUGGACAUGAAAAAUAUUAAAUUUGUGUCAGGUUCACAUACUACACAUUUGCACUACAGAGAAAGUUCUGAUUUGACAAACAGCAGUGCAAAUCCAAAAACUGUAGAUAUAUCUUAAUGUAUAUUAGAAAUAUUUGUGCAUCAUUCAGUAAACCACAGCUCUACAGAGCACCAAGAACACUACAGAAUCUUAGUCUAAGACCAGGCACUUGAACACAAAUAUAAGAGUUACAGCUUUAGUCAAGAAAACUAUUCCAGACUGCUUGUCUGACAGUGUUUGUGAUCAACUUCACAGAAUCACAGAAUGUUAGGGAUUGGAAGGGACCUCAAAAGAUCAUCUAGUCCAAUCCCCCUGCCAGAGCAGGAACACUUAGAUGAGGCUACACAGGAAGAUGUCCAGGUGGGAUUUGCAUCCUGGAGCUUUAUACAAAUUGCAAAGUCAGUUUUCAUAUCACCAUUUUAAUUUAUUUAUGCUUUUUAAAUGAACUAUAGCUGAAUUUAACAGCAACAGCAACAACAAAAUAUCAGGAAGUGAAGGUGAAUCACCUGUAGUCCUUCACUUGUCUACUGACACACAAAAAAAAUGGUAUCACAGUGGUUAACUGGCCCUUUUAAGAAGUCUGACAUUGAACACCACCUCCAAGGUGAUGCUCAUCAUCUUCAUAGGCUUCUCCAUUAUAGCAAUGUCUUCUAACUUGAGCCGGAUGAAAGUCCAUUAAAUCCACUUGUUCCAUUUCCCCAGUUUCUUCUACUUCUUGCCUUGCAGGUAGCAAUUUUUCCAGCAAAUACAACUUAUCUGAGGAGAGGAAGCCACUACCUGGGAAGUUCACCUGAAAUAAAUAGCUGCAGUUACUGAAUUUGGCUUUAACUGGCAUCUCACUCACUACAGGUCAAUUACGUGCCAGCAUCAGCUUCAUAAUUACAGAGGACUUGAAAACCCAUUGAUAAGGAAACAGGUCACUUGCCAGUCUUUCACAUCUGCCAAAAGUGCAUUUUUACUAUAUUUGGCAACUUUACUGUCUUGGAUAGUUCAGUCUUUUUUUUUUUUUUUUUUUUUUUUUUCUCUAUACCAAACUGCCAUAUUGAAAGGGCUAAAAAAACCCAACCAACCAACCAAACAAGAUAUCCUCAGCUAAAGCCAGAGUAGGGGGACACAGCAGUUAGAGAUUAGCCUGAUUCCCCUCCCAUCAGUACCCUGUUUCCCCAAAAAUAAGACAGGGUGUUAUAUUAAUUUUUGCUCCAAAACUUAUUAUUUUUUUACAUGUAUAGCUGCCUGGACACUACUUAAAUUGACUUGUUUUAUGAACUGUAACUAAGGCUUAUUUUUGGAGUAGUGCUUAUAUUUCAAGCAUCCUCAAAAAUCCUGAAAAAUCACGCUGAGGCUUAUUUUCGGGGAAACAGGGUAGCAAUUAUACUUCUUCCUCUGACAGGUUUUUUUUUAAUGGAGGAAAUACAGAAUGGCACCUUUGCUACCUUCUUCCAUGAUGUUUCCUCCUCCAUUACAAUAACGUUUCAGUAUCUUGAACAUCCUUGGGUAUUAAAAUACUUUUAUUGGUAUUUCUUAGGAGCUUCACUUUUGAACAGCUUGUGGGACUAUGGUGGAUCCGUGGAUUCCCUGAUGGAGGGCAUGGGAACAGAAAUUAGCCUUGAAGAUAUUAAGGCCUACCCAUGAGAAAGAUGGGAGUAAAGGAGUAUCCGGAGAUGUUAAGGAUGUACCCGUGAGAGAGAAGGGAGUAGAAGAGUAACAUUGAUGAUAGCAAAAAUAGCCAAUGAGAUGUUACUGCUGUAACUUGUAACCAAUAGUGAAGAGACACGUGAAUUGGUAAAACUGUAUAAAAAUGCACUUGUGGCAAUAAAUGGCAUCUACUACUUUCAUCCUGGAAGAACUUGGUCUAUGUCGUUUGUCCGUCUCAGCCAUGACAACAGCUACAGGACCCUGAUGAAGUGAUAGAAUAUUUAACAGGAAAAUGCUGUGGGUACUCCAAAGAAGCACAACUUACUGCAUUGUGCUGGGUCCUAGCCCCAGCCAAUAUCUACGAAGCACUGCUCAAUAUUAUGCUGCAUCCCCAGGGCAAAAGAGGGAAAACAGACCAACAGCACUGUGGCUACUCAAACCCAGACGACAGGCACUGUAGCUGAACCAGAGAACCAACCCAUGUCUGUAUCAGUCUCCCCUAUACAGAAAAAGAAAUAUGCAAAAAAGAAAAUCAGUUUGUUCAGUGUGGGAUGAUGAUGAAGUAGGGUCAUCUUGAGAACAGGAAGAAGAGGUAGAACCAGAGAUAAUCACCCGAUCCCUAUCCCUGAGUGAGCUGUGAGGUAUGCAAAAAGAUUUCAGCCACCAUCUCGGCAAGCACGUUGUUGUCUGGUUGCUCCAAUGCUGAGAUAAUGGGGCCAGUAACUUGGAAUUAGAGGGUAGGGAAGCCAAGCAGCUGGGAUCCCUGUCUAGUGAAGGGGGCAUUGACAAGGCAAUUGGGAAAAAAACCACAAGCCCUCAGCCUCUGAAGGCAACUUCUGUCUGGCGUGAAGGUAUCUCUUCAAGGAAGAUGUUACCCAUCACCCAGGCAAGUGGACCACCAUAGAGAGAGGUAUCCAGUACCUGAGGGAAUUACCCAUGCUGGAGGCAAUUUAUAAUGACCAUAAUCAUAUGCUAACUCAUUGGCAGUAACGUCUUCAAAAGAAGGCAAGGGACAAAUGGUGGAGGAAUUGGCUGGCCAACUCAGCAGUACGAAGAAAUCUCUCUUCCUCCCUAUGGGCCUGCAUCUUGGCUGUGGAGAAACUGCCAGACAUGCUAGCUGAGAAAAUGUUCUGAGAGUUCCAGCAAUCUGAGGUCAAGUUCUGCUCCCCACAAACUAGUGUACAAACUAGUACAAACUAGUAUCUGAGCUAUUAUGAGUAAGUGUUUCUUGGCUCAAGAAAGAGGAAAUAAAGGGUACACACCAUGAGGCACCCUGUGGUUUUACCUGCAUGACCAUGGAGAGGACAUGAGGAAGUGGGAUGCAAAACCUACCUCGACCCUAGAAGCACAGGUACAUGAGUUGCAAGGAAAAACAAUCACAAAAGGGGAUUAUACCAGGAAAAAUGAUGUUCCAGUUUGCAGCAGGCAGUUCCCCAGACAGAGUAGAAGGGUUGAUCUUACCUCUAACCCUCUUGAAGGGACUUCUGAUUCAUUUUUACAAUAAACAAGUAGUGCAUACUAUGAUCAGGACUAGAGGGGCCCUGCCUCCAGCCAGGUGGAGCAAAGUGACAACCAGGAUUACUGGACUGUAUGGAUUCCAUGGCCUGCCACAUCAGACCCACAAGAGUACAAGGCUCUAGUGGACACCGGUGCACAAGGUACCCUAAUUCCAUCAAACUAUGAAGGGGUAGAACCCAUCUGUCCUUCUGGAGUGACCGGGGAAUCUCAAUAGUUGACUGUAUUAGAAGCUGAAGUGAGACUAGCUAGGAAAGAGUAGCGAAAACACCCCCUAUUGACUGGCCCAGUAGCUCUGUGCAUCCUUGGCACAGACUAACUCAGAAGAAGAUAUUUUAAGGACCCAAAAGGGUACUGGUGGACUUUGGGCAUAGCAGCCAUGGAGACAGAGGGCAUUAAAUAGCUUUCUGCCUUGCCUGGUCUCUCAGAGGACCCUUCUGUUGUGGGGUUGCUGAGGGUCAAAGAACUAACAGGUGCCAAUUGCUACCACGAUGAUGCACCGGCAGCAAUAUCGCACCAACCAAGACUCCCUGAUCCACAUCCAUAAGUUGAUUCAUCAACUGGGGACUCAAGGAGUGAUCAGUAAGACUCACUCUCCCUUUAACACUCCCAUAUAGCCAGUGUAAAAAUCUAAUGGAGAGUGGAGACUAACAGUAGGCUAUUGUGGCCUGAAUGAAGUCACGCCACCAUUAAGUGUUGCCAUGCGAGAACUGCAAUAUGAACUGGUGUCAAAGGCAGCCAAGUGGUAUAGCAUAAGUGAUAUUGCUAAUGUGUUUUUUCUCAAUCCCUUUGGUAGCAGAGUGUAGGCCACAGUUUGCUUUCACUUGGAGGGGCAUCCAGCACACUUGGAAUGGACUGCCUCAGAGGUGGAAAUGCAGCCCUACCAUUUGCCAUGGGCUGAUCCAGACUGCACUGGAACAGGGCAAAGCUCCGAAACACCUGCAAUACAUUGAUGACAUCAUUGUAUGGGGCAACACAGGAAAAAAAAAAUCUGAGAAAAGGUUGAAAACCCAAAUUCUUCCAAAAGCUGGUUUUGCUAUAAAACACAGUAAGGUCAAGGGACCUGCACAUGAGAUCCAGUUUUUACAAAUAAAAUGGCAAGAUGGACAUCAUCAGAUCUCAAUGGAUGUGAUCAACAAGAUAACAGCUAUGUCUCCACCAACUAGCAAAAAGGAAACACAAGCUUCCUUGUGCAUUGUGGGUUUUUAGAGAAUGCACAUUCCAAGCCACAGUCUGAUUGUAAGCUAUCAAGUGACCUGGAAGAAGAACAAUUUCAAGUGGGACCCUGAGCCUUUGAACAAAUUGAACAGGAGACAGUUCAUGCAGUAGCCCUCAGGGCAGUCUGGGCAGGACAAGAUGUUAAAGAUGUGCUCUACAUUGUAGCUGGGGAGAAUGGCCCUACCUGGAUUCUUUGGCACAAAGCAUCAGGGGAGACUUGAGGUCAACCCUUAGGGUUUUAGAGUUGGGGAUACAGAAGAUGUGGGUUGUUCUAUACUCCAACUGAAAAAGAGAUACUAGCAACGUAUGAAGGGGUUCGAACUGCUUCAAAAGUGAUUGGUACUGAAGCACGGUUCCUCCUGGCACCUUAACUUCCAGUGCUGGGCUGGAUGUUCAAAGGCAAGGUCCCCUCUACACAUCAUGCAAAUGAUUACUACAUGAAAUAAGUGGGUCACAAACAUCACACAAUGGCCUCAAAUAGGAAAGCCCAGUCACCCAGGGAUCUUGGAAGUGAUCAUGGACUGGCCAAAAGAAUAACACCAGAGAAGGAGGUAACAUAUGCUGGAGAGGCUCCACUAUAUAAUAAAUGAGAAGCAAUAUGCUCUUUUCACUGAUGGGUCCUGCCGCAUUGCAGGAAAGCAUUGGAGGUGGAAGGCUGCUGUAUGAAGUCCUGUACGACAAGUCACAGAAGCUGCUGAAUGAGGUGAAUUGAGCCAGUUUACAGAGGUGAAAGCCAUCCAGCUGGCUGCAGAGAUUACUGAAUGAGAAAAAUGGCUAGUGCUCUAUCUCUACACUGACUCAUGGAUGGUGGUAAAUGCCCUGUGCGGGUGAUUGCAGCAAUGGAAGAGGAGCAACUGACAGUGCAAAGGCAAACCCAUCUGGGCUGCCCCAUUGCCCCAUUGUGGCAAGAUAUCGCUCUCCUAUUGAACUGUCUUUAUCUCAACUCACAAGUUUUGCCUUUUGCCUUUUUUUUUUUUUUUGACUCUACUCCCCAUCCCACCAGGGGGGACCACGACAGUCUGUUAUAUUUCAGUUUUUCCUAAGACAUGUUGGAGGCCAAAAGCAUGUCAAACAUGAAAAUUCACAGGAUAUCCAAACAAGUUAGUUUAUUAAUUAGUAUAUUCUCAGUAAAGAGCUAUUUAGAAAUGUCAUGGUUUAAUCCCAGUUGGCAGCUAAGCACCACACAGCUGCUCACUCACUUGCCCACACUCAGAGGGAGGGAGGAGAGAAUCGGAAGGGUAAAAGUGAGAAAACUUGUGGACUGAGAUAAGGACAGGUUAAUAGGCAAAGUAAAAGAUGCAUGCACAAGCAAAGCAAAAUAGGAAUUAAUUCACUGCUUCCCAUUGGCAGGCAGGUGUUUAGCCAUUUCCAGGAAAGCAGAGCAUCAGCACACAUAACAGUUACUUGGGAAGACAAAUGCCAUAACUCCGAAUCUCCUUCCUCUCAGCUUUUAUUGUUGAGCAUGACAUCACAUGGUAUCAAAUAUCCCUUUGGUCAGUUGAGUCAGCUGUCCUGACUGUGUCCCCUCCCAAGUUCUUGGGCAUCUCCAGCCUAUUUGCUAGCAGGGCAGUGUGAGAAGCAGAAAAGGCCUUGAUACUGUGUAAGCACUGCUCAGCAAUAACUAAAACAACAUUGUGUUAUCAACAGUAUUUUCAGCACAAAUCCAAAACAUAAUCCCAUACAGGCUACUAUGAAGAAAAUUAUCUCAGACAAAACCAGUACAAGAAAGAAUUGGAUAUGUUCUGAUAAUAGCCUUGUGCAUUGCGUUAGGUUAUCUGACCACACUGCAAGAAACAGACUAAAUGAGACACUCAACAAUUAGGGUCUCUUCUUGCUUGAGUUAUUAGUUAAUGUUCUACAUGUUCAGUGUUAAGCUGUACCAUGGAAGCUUAUUCACUUACCUUGAACUCUAUGAUUAGACAUCCUUUUUCAUAUGGCCUAUGAUAUAUUGGCAUGCCUUCAUUCAGCACACAUUUAAUAUCCCCAUGUUUGACAGUCUGGCCUUAAGUGAAUAAAAAACAACAACAACAAAAACAAACAAACAAAAAAAAACCACACCAAAACAAAACAAAAAAACUCCAGGCAGGCAAAACAAGCAAUUUUAGUUUCAAUGUCUUUCAGGAUGUAUUUGUACAGCUCUGUAAGCUGUGUUUCAACAACUAUACUGAUAUCCAGUAGUCUCAUAGGGACCUACUACCUGAUCACUUUUGCAUAGGAGAACAUGUGCACAUCUAUGCUAUAUUCUACCAUUUUGUAUGCUUCUCAAAGGGAGCAUACCUAUGAAUGUAAAGUAUUCCAGGAAAUCCAAAUCUGAAAAAUUCAUCUUCGGAGACCUUGAGUAUCCUCAGGAUAUCAGCACAUCCAUGAAGUAAAAUUUGUUACUGUAUCAUAAAAAGAAACACAUAGUUACUGUUGCCCACUAAGCAAAAUUUUUAUUUAUUUAACGCUCUCUGCUGUAAAAACUUGGGGGGGGAGGAGGGAAAAUGUCAGGGAUUGGCUCAAGGAGCGUGGACAUGAGUCCACUGAGCAACUGUACGAGCAGAGCCCAUUUUAGUUGACAUAAGUAGGCCUCAGUUAGCUUUUCUAUUAGGCCAUGGGAAAGGGGAAAAUGGAAAAGUACUGACUAAAGCAGGGUCAGGAUAUCCUUGAAGAGAUAAGAGUCAAAAGAAUGCGGGAUGCGCAUAGCUAGCUAAACCCAAGUAGGUGGAGUAAGUAAAUGUAACCUUUUAGUGCUUAGCCUAUCAGAUAGAGACAAGUAUGCAUAAUUAUGGUAUUUGGUAUAAAUACACGCUAUCUUGGGCAAUAAAGUUGAAUCAUGCUUUAUCACUCACAUUGAGUCGGCCUGCAUGUUUUUCUCAGCCGCGUACUCGCAAGUGGCGCCCGAACAGGGACUCUCGAAGGAGCGGCUGAAGCAGAGGGGCACCGGGAAGCAGCGACCGGGGGGUCAAGAGCGACCGAACACUGCGUGCGUCGGUGUGUCAUCUUCGAGGACCUGAACUGAAUUUAGGAGUUCGCCAUCUGCAUGGGCUACAGGGCAAGGGCUGCAGGUGGUACCAGGUUUACAAGGUACCAAGGAUUAUAGGGUAAGGCGCCUUUCUUUUGCCUAAGGGCAGGUAUCAGGAUUUCUUUUGCCUAAGGGCAGGUAUCAGGAUUUUUUUUUGCCUAAGGGCAGGUAUCAGGAUUUUUUUUUUUUUGCCUAAGGGCAGGUAUCAGGAUAUGGAUAAAGGAACUAUGGAUUUAGAAGUAGCCCAAGAUUUAUUACAGCGCUUUCUAGAAAAGCGGGGGGGGGGGGGGUUGAGUGUAUCAAGCAUCUAGCUGGUCUAGUUGCAGUAGGUCGAGUGAAAGGGUGUUUUUCGAAUACUGAUUCGCUCUUUGAUGUGUCGGAAUGGAGAAAAUUAGGAGACAUACUAUGGGAUAUGGUUAUAGAUGAUGAUAAAUCAGCGAAAAACCUCAAAAGACUAUUAACUUGGUGCAGAGGCAAUAGGUAUCCUGCUGACCUGUCAGGAGUUUUUCGAAUAGAGACUUGGAAAAAGAUGGGAACUGUGUUGUGGAAGGCAAUUAGUCACCAUGAAAAAUAUAUUCUCGGCCUUGUAACCAUAUGGAAACUGAUAAAUACUACAGUGAAGCAAUGAAAACCUGAAAAGACUUUUACGAGCAUUAGUGACUCAAAACUUAAACUUGAACUUUGGGACAGAGCAUUAACUGAUAACACGCAGGUCACAGUAAACUUGCUGAAGUCUGCACAAUGUUUUCCUUAUUAGCCUGUUUUCUUUGUGGGUAUCUGUUUAAGCAUGUUGCAAUUUUGGUAGGUCUUUGUUAUAUGGUACAGUAAGCUCACAGACUGUUAAAUCAUGAGAAUCGGUUGACUCAAAAGGUGCGUUUUGUGAUAGUACAAAAGAUCAUGAGUAAUUUAGUUCCUUACUGCGUGAACGUGAUGUUAAGAUUUUAUGUGUAGUAGCUGUUAUAUUUUUUUCUAGCGUACUAGCUUUAUUCCAAUAUCCAGACUUGCGCAACUCUGUGACAGGCUGUCUCUCAUCUCGGUGCACUAAAUUUGGCCUUUUUGUAUGCACAUCAAGUAAAGAAUCCUGGUUUUAGAAUAACAGUUGUAGCGCACCAGAUGAGACACUAAUAAAAGGCCUUGCCCAGUCCAGCUCACUGCGGCGGCGGGGGGGCGGGUGCCAAAUGGGCCUCCUGCGCGCACUGACCCAUUUUGUCAGGGAGACCCAGAGGUACCUCCACCUGGCUGAGCAGUAAGCGGUUCAAAGGUGCAAUGCAAAAAAUUGAGAUAUUGUCUUAAAUUGGUGUAAGUGUGAUCCAUCUGCUUAUUUGAACUUGGUAUAUGGUUUUCAUAUCUGAGCUCAGUAUUUUAGUUUGCAUAUUCAUAUUUGGUACCAAAAGAAUCUUGUUUGGGGAGAGAAUUACAAAAUGGGAACUGGUUCCACUGCUAAAAUUCCACCUUGCUCCCCCUUAGGAUGCACCCUUACACAUUAGAGUAAUCGCUUAUAUUGUUAGAAAAGCAUUUAAAUUGUUAAAAUACUAUGAUAGAUGUGAACUUGGGGUAUUGUAUGAAGUUAUGAAGUUGUAUUUAAAGGUUGCUGGAAUGUGAACUGAUUUGGAUCUAGGACAAUAGAAUAAUGGAUUUAUGUUUAUUAUACUGGUUUAUACUGUUUUUUGACAUCUCUAAAUUGUAAAAGGUAAAUGGAGCUAAGGAAUGUAACUAUUGCUGAGCUACUUGAAAUUGCAUAUAAAGUGUAGUUGGAAUGAAAUGGGAAAACAAAAGAGCAAAAUAUCCCAGGCCUGUGUGCAGCUCAUUGUAACUGAGAAGUUUCCCAGAGCCUCCUACUUCGUACCAGCCAGUAUGCCAGCUGCGUGACCUUGGUUAUAUCUACACUGCAAAGAAAGAAAAAACAACUGGAAAAACCUGGCUGCCCGCUUUUAAAGCAGUGAAAGGGGGGUUCUCUCUCCCCCCACUGCAGCGAUGUAAUACUGAAUGGAGCAGUCCGAGGGUGAAGUUUAAAGGCAUCCUGAGCAGACCCGUAGUUCUAAUGAAACUGGAAAAUUAAACCAAAAAUUUGUUGAUAGACUUAUCCUGUGGUAACUAGUUGUAAGAGACUUCUUAGUAAAUUCACCAUGCUAUUUUUUUGAGGUCAUGGGAGACAACGAAAGAAAGGCCGUUUUUUGAGACCAAUGGAAUGCCAGAUUUGGAACAAAGUUUUAAUACAUGAAUUCUUGUAUUUGCCCAAAAGUCCUAUACCUCUCUUGGGUCAGGAUUUGUUAAGUAAAUUGUAAGCUCAAAUAAUGUUUUCUGAGAAUUCUGUUUAGUUGCAUGUCCUACAAGAAGCUGCUUGGAUGGUGCAGAUCUGCUUGUGCAAGUGAGAAAUCUUCAAGGAACUUUUGAAUGCUGUAUUUCCAAUAGUAUUAACAGCCAAUGUUUUGAUAAAGCAAAUACUACACUGAUAGAUCUGAAACAGGACUUCGAUCCAGUAAGGGAAAACAAUAUCCAAUAAAUAUGACAGCCAAAAUGCAGUUGGAAACUUUGAGGAAUGAAUUUAUGACAACUUUACAGGCUGACUGCAUUUGAUUGGACUUGCAGAUUUGUCUAUGAAACAACCUGUGGCUAUUGUGGGACAGUAUGAUGAGAAUGCUAACAGACUGAUAUACCAAUUGUCACUCUAAUCAAGAAAAUGCAGGGAAUGAAUUUAAGUCUUAAUAGGCCAUGAUCCUUUUGUCAUAUAUGUACCAUUUGUGAAAUUUAAUUCUGAUUUUUUUUUUCCUUAUUUGUAAUCUAUGUCUUUGUAAAUUGCACUAGCUGGUUUUCUUAACAGCACAGCUUUUAGUAUGCAUAAAUGUAAAUUGCUGCAGAACCUGCAAGUCUUUAACAUCAGGUCAUAGGCCAUACUUGUAUUUGGUCUGAUCCUACAUACUUGCAUAGUUUUUGUUGAUGGUUCAGAGAAGUCUCAUGAAGCUGUAGUGGCUUAGCGUGAAGAUAGCGAUUAGCAUCAUUCUGUGAAAAUUAUUGAAAGUUCAACCCAAUUAGCAGAACUUGGCACAGAUUUAAAUUAUUUAGAGAUUUUUAAGGAGAAACCUCUAAAUUUGAUUUGCGAUUUUGAGUACGUAGUCAAGAUCCAACGCACGUAUCUGAUUCUGAACUGUGUUUUUGUUUUGUUUUGGUUUGUUUUUUUUUUUUUUUUUAAACAAAAAGGGGGGAGAAGUAGGGAAAACAUCACAAAACCAAUUGUCAAAAGGAUUGUAUGUGAUGAAUCACUUAUAUCUAAGUGGUGCAGCCUAAAUUUGCCCUGUGAUGAAACACUUUGUAAGUAUGACCCAAAACCAUGCUAAAUCAGAAAAAACCUACAUUAGUUAUGGUCAAAUCACUAGUUAACGGUCAAUGGAAAAGGCCACACCAAUUGAUAACCUGGGGGAGAGGUUAUGCUUGUGUUUUUACAGAUCAAGGGCCGCAAUGGUUGCCAGCACGAAAUGUGAAACCUGUGUUAUCUUCCUGACAAUGAUUGUUGCUGCUGCUGUGUUUUGGAUGCCUGCACAGACAAAGACUAACAUGUGGAUUACUUUAGCCAACAUGACUGACCAGGACUCUAUAUGCCUAACUACGAUGUCUCUGGAAAAAACGUUCCACACAUGCUUGGUUGGUGUCUUCCUUGAUGACUACAGCAGCAUCACACGACUGUUUCAAAUAGUGGUCGAUGCAGAGGCAUUGCAACGAACUGUAAUAAUACUAACAUGGCACUUUGGAUUAAUUGCCUUCUGGAAGCAGACAUCGAACCACAGGAACUGGAAUUGCUGGCAUCUAUGCCCAUGGAUGCUUGUAUCCAGCUGGUUUGUGAAAAGUGUCAGAACAGUAUACAAGAACAUGAAUGGAUAAAACUGCAAAAUGUUAAUGCUACCCUUGGUGACUACAGAAAUGAAACUCGAUGGUGUAAUGCUUCACAGAAGAAUCCAAGGGAUGUCAUUGAUAAUGUGGGACAGCGACCCCAAAACCUCCUGUAUGGUGUAUUCUUGAUCUGUGAAGAUAGAGCCUGACCAGGAAUUCCUUCUAAUGCUGUUGGAGGACUGUGUAUUUUGGGACUAUUAACUCUCUUAAUGCCCAGUGUAUCUAUGAUAAUAGAUCACAGAAGAGCAAGACGAGAAAAACACUUUUUGCAUGUGUAUGAGUCAAAAUGUGAUGAUAAUGUAGAUUUUUGAGGAUCAGGGUUAAGGGUUUUAGGAUCUCUUUUAUCUAGUGAUGGCACAACUGAAGCUUUAAAUACUUUAGAAAAAUUAGGAUGCUGGCUAGUUAAGCAAACAAACAGAACUUCUAAGGCUUUAAGUGGACUUUUGUUAGAUGUAGAUUCUGUAAGACAUGCUACACUGCAGAAUACAGUCACAGGAGACUUUUGUUAUUAGCCCAUGGCCAUGGAUGUGAGGAAUUUGACGGAAUGUGCUGUAUGGAUUUACAGGAUAAGUCCAUCCACAAGGAGAUUAAACAACUUACGGACCAUUCACAGACGAUCAGAGAGGAUAUGGGCCUCUUUGGCUUAGAGGGCCUCACGAACUGGUUUGGUCUAGGAGGCUGGGUAAAAGGGCUUUUGCAGAGUGCUCUGGCUCUCUUAAUGAUAGUAGUAGUUGUAUUAAUAUGCUUGAGCUGUGCUAUAUCAUGUAUUAAGAAGAUUUUAGAGCAGACACUUGGGCAGGCUCUGCUCGUAAAAAAAAAAAAAAAAAGAAAAGAGGGGAGAUGUCAGGGAUUGGCUCAAGGAGCAUGGACAUGAGUCCACCGAGCAACUGUACGAGCAGAGCCCAUUUUAGUUGACAUAAGUAGGCCUCAGUUAGCUUUUCUAUUAGGCCAUGGGAAAGGGGAAAAUGGAAAAGUACUGACUAAAGCAGGGUCAGGAUAUCCUUGAAGAGAUAAGAGUCAGAAGAAUGCGGGAUGCGCAUAGCUAGCUAAACCCAAGUAGGUGGAGUAAGUAAAUGUAACCUUUUAGUGCUUAGCCUAUUAGAUAGAGACAAGUAUGCAUAAUUAUGGUAUUUGGUAUAAAUACACGCUAUCUUGGGCAAUAAAGUUGAAUCAUGCUUUAUCACUCACAUUGAGUCAGCCUGCAUGUUUUCCUCAGUCGCGUACUCGCAGGAAAAGAAGUAGUAUUUUAAGGAUCAAUCCUUUCUGCUCCCCUAUGCUAAUUGCUUGCUUUUCAGCUUGCAUUUGCUGGAUGCACAGAUUUUUAGCACAAAGCAAACCAACACUUACCAGGAUGAGAACUAAUAAUUAUAUUUCUGUUAUCCAGUGUUGCAAUAGGCUUUUGAAAGCCACACAGUGCUUCAACCAGCUGUAUAUCCCCUCACCUAUUGUAGAACCAAGCAACAAUAGUCAGGGGUGCAAUGAGGGAAUAGGAAGAGUGAGAAGGACCAUGCCUAAACUCAAGUAUUAAAUUCGGUGCAGAAAAUAAAUUUGGAAACUUAAUACUAAGAAGCCUGACCAGUAAAAUAGAGAACAUUAACUAUUAACUAAGCCAACUACUUCAGGGAUAAUACCUGUGAUAAGAGCCAUUUACUACUCAAGGACAGUUAUUCAAAAGCUAACCCCCCCAAACCAUACCAUGCACAACAGCAUUCAGUUUCAUUUCACUGUGCUUUCCUCCUUCUGAGAAAAGGUCUGUCUCAGCCUCCAAACUUCUGCUGUUGAGACAAUUAACCCCUUUAACAGUCCAAAUUAAAAAAAAAUAAUUGCAUAAUACUGUCAUAUAUCAGCACAAUCAUCUAAAGAAACAAGAUGCAGCGACACUUUUUUAAUCACUCUUUUUUAUUCUUCUCCAACAUCAUGUUUGGCUUUCAAAUGUUGUGGGCAACACUAGGGAUCUAAUGUGAUUUUGUACCUUCUUAGUUACAUCAUUAGGGGAGACUAACUCCCCUGAGAUCAUACUGCUGCCCUAAUCUGGUAAAGCUGAUCUUUUUUGACUAAUUUAAAUAUCCUCACUUCAAAAGUAGAUGCCUAGGGAAGAGUACAAGAGUAAGGUAAGCAGAUGACACUGCCCCAGAAUACACUCAGCAUCCAGCCCUUAUCAAGCACAAGGACUUUAACUGGGAAGUGUAUUUUUUUUCCCUCCCUUUCACAAAAUCUAUUGAUGGCUAUUGACCACUGACAGCAUCUUACACCAAUCAUUUUCAUAUCCACAUACAAAGUGCUACUUCCAGUUCUGAACCUCAUACAACCACAGAAUGGCUGUAGUUGGAAGGAACUUCCAGAGGUCAUCUGGUCCAGCUCCUCUGCCCAAGCAGAUUCACCUGGAGCAGGCUGCCCAGGACCACAUCCAAACAGUUUAUUAAUAUCUCCAAGGAGGGAGAUUUCACAGCCCCUCUGGGCAACCUGUUCCAGUGCUUGGUCACCCUCCCAGUGAAAAAGUUUCCCUACAUUCAGACAGAAUCACCUGUGCUUCAGUUUGUGCCCACUGCCCCUUGUCCUGUUGGUAACAGUAACUGUAAUAUCUCAAGUGAUUCAAAGAGACAGACAACAGUUGCUCCUACACAAAUUCUCCCUACACAAAUUCUUCCUCUUCCUUCCUCCUCUCUUUUCUCCAAGGAAGGAUCUACUUAAAAAAAAAAAAAAAUCACUCUCCACAUAGAAGCUAUUCCAUCUUUUCCUCAUUACCUUCUGUAUCUUUGUGUAUGGGGUCUGGCUGGGAUGGAGUUAACUUCAUUUUAUAGCAGCCCAUGUGGUACUGUGUUUUAAAUUUGUGACUGACUUAUUGAACUGUCUUUAUUUCACCCCACAAGUUUUCUUGCUUUUGCUCUUCCUAUUCUCUCCCCCAGGAUGCUGGGGAGGGGGUGGGAGGGUAAAUAAGCAAGCAAAUCUGUGGCUUUCUGCCUGGGGUCAACCCACUACACUUUUAAAUGUAAAAUCUGCAUUACAUGCAGUAUUCAAGGUACAGGCACACCACAGAUUUUUAUAUAGACAGCAAUUAGUUUUGUCGUCAUCCCAUGUCCUCCCCCCCCCAAAUUCCUAACAUUUUAUUUGCUUCUUAGCAUUGAGAUGAUCUAUUAAUAGAUCUGUUACAACCAACAUUUUGGCACUGCUGAGAUCCCACUAUGUGCAAGUAUUAAAGUUUAUGCACUUCAUUUUACAUUUAACAUUCAACUGAAAUUUUCAUGUUUGUUGCAUUAUAUAAUGCAAUCAUUCUGCAACUCUAAUCAACUUCCAUCUUCCUUAACCUGUAAAAGUUCUGUAUCAUCAAAUCAUCACCUCAGAUUUUAAAUGAAAUUAAAGGUCCCCAGUGCAGGUCUUUUUAGGAUUCAUUUGGGGUCUCAUCAUCUUUCUUUAUCAGAGGGAAUUAUAUUCUUACCUGGUUUCCUACUUUUUAGCCUGUAAUCCAUGUAAUAUUCCCUUCCACUCCUUAGUAGUUUAGUAUAUUCAAAAACUCUUUGCUGAAAAAUUUCAUUCAAUGCCAUUUCAGCAAUUCAGUGGUUCACUUGGAUCUCCCUAACCUGCAGUAAACACCACUGCAAGUGUGAAAGCUUGAGCAUUUCUGAUUAAAGAAAUCUUAACUUGAAACACUUCAGCCAAACAAAGAGUUAAUAUUUUCUGCUAUUAAAAAUAAUAACCUGAAGGUUACUGUAGAUAAAGUAGAUACGGUAAUUUUAGUGAGACUGAAAACAAAAUGCAGAGCUCAGAACUUUUAUUUCAAAAGAAGUCAGAAACAACUCUUGACUACACUAAUCAGUUUAAAAAUCAGAAAUUUUAACAUGGAGAAGGGAACAGCCUGAACACUUAAGAACACUCAAUCCUGUGUUGUAAGGGGGCCUUUUAAAUGCAGCUGGAUAAAUUAUCAAAGAAUCAUGGAAUAGGUGAGGUUGGAAGGGACCCUUCGGAGGUCUCUAGUCCAACCCUCUUUGUCAGCUAGAGCAGGUUGGUCAGGGCCACAUCCAGUCAGAUUUUGAAUAACUGUAAGGAUGGAAACCCCACAGCUUCUCUGGGCAACCCAUUCCAGUGUUUGACACCACUCCCCCAAAUUAAAAAAAAAAAAAAAAAAGCUUUUUCUUAAGUGGAAUUUCCUAUAUUUUAUUUCAUGUCCAUAUGUACCUUAGAUGCUAAACACUUUGCAAUGCUUUUUAAAUUAAGAUAGCUGUGGGACAGUAUUCUCAUCUGGACUACAGUAAACAAAAAUAUGGAGCAAGAAAUUAGUUAACCAGUUGGCCUUGAAGGCUGAUGUCCAACUGGGGAUUGAUCAAUACAAAAUUCUAGGUCACAUACUCGAAGACUAAAACCUUAAUAUAUGCAGCAAGCUCAGCUAGAGAUGAUUAAGUGUAAAGGUAGCAAUGAAAUUGCUAUGUCAACUGUUCCACUCACAAAAAUUAUUUCCAGCAGAAAUAAGAAAGUAUUUGUGCCACUGAACAAGACUGUAGCAAAAUUCAAAGUCUCAUACAUUUCUAUUCAGCUACAUUAGAUGACAAGUCAAGUAAAACUCCCUCCUCAACACUAGACAAGCUUGAUUUGCAAAACUGAGGGAAUGCAAUUGCUUAUAGAUACUGUAUACUAUAUUAAGGAAGACAGUCAUAUACAUUUAUUGUAUACAUUGAUGUACACAGGCAGGUACAAGUUAGCUGCAAUAAGUUAAGCUUGAUAAUUAACUUGAAUAUAUUUAGGUAUCAACAUCCUCAAAGAACCUUCCAAAUGGAAUCAAAAGAACAAAACAGGACUUGGCUUUAUGAGCAGUGUAAAGCCAGAGACUUGAAAUUGCCCUAAGGUAGUAAAUUAGAACAGCUACUACCAAGUACACAACAAAAUAUAUCCAGUAACAAACAGCUAGGUUUUAAGACAGGACUGAAAGAAGUCUCUAAGUGAAUUGUCUCUCCUACACUUCAGUUGCCUCUGAUACCUGUAUUUCUGAAUAUUAAGAUAUUAGAGGACACAUAUAGCUUAGAAAGAUUUUAUAGGACACGGAUAGCUUAGAAAAAUGUUGCUGAUUGCUAGGGCUCUAGUGACCUUUAAAGGCUAACCAAAGGUUUGUAACAUAACUAGCCACACAAAGUUCCUUGUGUAAGCAGAUCACGUAGUAGAGAUUUACGACAUAUUCUUUAGGAACAGGAUGUUGAAGUAAUAAUUAAUUAGAGAAAACACAGGUGUUGCUCAAAGAAUAGCUUAUGUAAGUAGGUAUCUACUGCACUUGCUCGAGGAGUUGCCAAUGAGGAGAGGUCAUUUGCCAGACACGAGAGAAGACCCUUGAAGAUGGAAGUUGCAACCGCUGAACAGACUGUAAGAGGCUACAAUACCAGCUAAAGAAUGUUAGAUGGCAGCAAAGAUCGUGAAAUAACUAACUUAAUGUUUAUGUAAUCAUUUCUUAGUAUAGGUGCAUCGUAUGUUAAAAAUUUCCAGAAUUGUAAAUAUAUGUAAUUUUUCUGUCAAUAUAAGCAAAGCAAAAAUGAUCAGUCUUUGGCACACUCAUGGUGGAUCAUCCCCAGUGUGUCUCAGCACUGAAUAAAAGGAAUGCUACUUUUAAAACCUUAAAAUGUGGUUUUGAGAGUUAUUAAUUUGCCAUUUUUUACAGUAUCACCUCCUUCAGAGUCUCCUACACUCCCUUCUGAAGGUCUGGUGGUAACGAAGUUUAGAAAGCAACUCUGAGUCACUCUGAAAGGAACUUCUAGAUGAAACCUGGAUGCAUCCAGUUAAGUCAGAACUGAAAAUUAAAGAAGUUACAUUAAAGUCAGCACAAAUGAUGUCUGCAUGUACUGGUUUAUUCAGGAGUUUAGUUUAAGGGCACCUCAAACCUAUUAAAAUAACUUGGACUUGUUAAAAAGGACAAAUUUAAAGGUGUCUAGAAAGAGACUUGCCUGGAAAGUAGGGACAGGAGGUACAUUCUGUCUGCCCCAGAAGUGGCAUUACCUCAGCAUAACCCCACAAAACUACUGAUAUCAAGGAACAUCUAACAAGGCUAAAGCUCAAGCCAGUGCAGGGGGUUGGACACCAAUACUCCAGUACAAUCAAAACUUCAAGUCCCAGGCAACAUCAUAAAUGCAUGGACCAGACAGACCCUUUGACACAACUGAUUCAAUACCUGGUUUCACUGGAAGCUGGGUAGACAAAAUUGCUCAUCACUAGCCUGCCAAAUGCCAUAAAAGUUCCAAUUCUUUUAUCUGCAAGCUCAAUGCUGGAAGCUGUUAACAGUAGUGUUCCAUCUGUCCUGCCUCAGCACAAAGUUUUGGCAUCAGCUUCUGGAGUUAAGCACCAUACAAGGCUGCUGAUUGGACUGACUACAGGCUAUACUAGAGCCUUAGACCUAUAUUAUUCCUACUUACAGGGACAAAGGGAUGAGCUGGUAGACUAAGUGCCCUCAUGUUAAGAGACCAAUGCCUUCCCAAAUUCAUUGUUCCCCUCAUGAAUGCUCUGAUCAACAGUUAGUUACACUUGGUACCUACUGCUCAUCCUCUAGAGCAGGGGUGUCAAACUCAUUUUCACCAGGGGCCACAUCAGCCUCACGGUUGCCUUCAAAGGGUCAAAUGUAAUUUUAGGACUGUAUAAAUGUAGGAGUAAUUACCUCUGCUCUAGAGAUUGCUAAAGUGCUGCUUUCUCCACAUGACAGACUCAUUUCACAAAGUAACUUGAAACAAUGGACUUUAACACAAAGCAACAUUGUCAGGCAAUGUGAAGUACUUGACUAACACAGUUGACACUACCCAGUUGUUUCGAUUCCACAGAUUACCAGUCCUCUCCAUUCCUCAUGUUACCCAAUGCAUUCAGGCAAGAAAAACACAUAGGAGGUAGAUCACCUUGAUAUUAUGCAUAUAGGAUGCACACUUCUGACUGUAAGGUGUCCAUAAAGAGGAUCCUGAGAAAUAGCACAAGCACUGAAGCACAAUCCUGAGAAAUAGGCACAGGCACUCCAAGGCAGAAGAAACGACAUAACAAGCAGUUGCCUAUGCUAGAUCAGUGUUUAGUAUUGGAGGGCUUUCACAGAAGGAGGCAAGAACAAGAAAUUAGUAAGGCAAGAACUGCUACAGAUAUUCACAGCUAUUAAGAAACAAUUAUUUUCCAAUAUUGUUAGUCCUUUGAAGUUUGUGAAUUCCCAAUAUCUAUAACUCCCAUAGGUUUGUCUUGCUUCCUCUCCCACCCCCAGAGAAAGAAGAAAAACUCACUUCAAACAACCCAAAAAAUAAACCAUACAACCACAAACCUUGUACAUUUAGAGCAUCAACUGCUUUGACUAGUUCUACCAGUAUUUCUAGAAAUAUGUCAAUAUCUGACAGCCCAGACCAACUCACAAGCGAGCUCUAGACAUAUAGUUCUAUCUGACAAUAUUCCAGUUACUAAAAAAAGCCAGUGUUAACAGAGAAAGCUUAAAGACAAGCAUCUGAGGAGCAUGCAUAAAGACUCACGGAAUUUACCUCAUAAGUGUAGGGUGCUCUUUUUGAUCUAAGACAAUAAUUACAUCCCCUGGCUCUAGUCCUGGCUCUUGGUCCCCUUCACCACGGAAUGUUAUUUUCUGACCAUCCUUCAUUCCUAUUGCAGAGACCACAUAUUUCAGCUUUUUUUUUUUUUCUUUCCUCUCAAAUGUAACAAUGUGAAAUAUUUUAAUAGGCACUAGCUUGUACUAUGAUAUUACUGAACUUUGAGUUUGCAACAUUAGGACCUUUGCUUGAAGCAAGUAUCUUACCAACUCAUCUUUCCAAAACAUGUUAGUACUACAAACUUGAGCUAUGUUUCAUAAGCAUGAAAUCCCAUUCUAGUAGAAAUUAGUCACAUGCCAAGACAAAAAUCCUUGAGGGAAGUACUAUCAAGAUGGUUUCUAUCAUAUGCACAACCACUACAGAAGAGACAUAGAAGAAAUGUUGCACACAAAGCUUGCUUUAAGAAGUUGAUAAGUCUCUUAAGUCUGUGGCAGAACUACUUGAGAGAAAAGAUCUCAAUGCCUUCAGUUUAGGAAGCACUCUUCUUAGGAGUGUGACUAUCACUCAAGAAAGCAACUUCACCUACAGAAGGGUUAUUGCACUAUUAAUUCUAGCAGCCUGUCACGGAGGCACCCCGAGGUUAGUUUAAGGGACAACAGGGUCCAAAACAACUUUUAUUAAACCAGUGAGAAACAGGGUUUUAGCACUCCAAAAGUGACUUAAAUACAUGUUCGGAUAUCAGUUGAGGAAAAUUAUUAAGGGGCAGCAACUAAUACAACAGGCGGUCCACAGAGUGCAUGCACAUGGCUUCACCCAAAACAAUGCCAGAGCUGUCUCUGAGUCUGGGAGGAGUACACACUUGCCUGUACACAGUGUGGGAUUAUUUUAAAGAGAUACACGUACUCGUAGUGAGUACGGAAAGUGUACACUCACGAUUGUGCGAGGGUAAAUUUAUAAUACACUCGCAAUCCUGCGAGGAGAAAUUUUACUCACACACGUGGCGGCAAGGCAAGCGGAGUCUCCAUCCCGGGGGGACUCUCGGCGGCAGCAUCUCGCUCGUGCUCCGAGAGACCCGCGACAAUGGGCGGAGUCUCGAUGAGAAUCCCGUUUUUUAUAGGCUGAUCAGAUCUGACUGUAGGCAUUCUAGAAGCUUCUCUGCACCCCCACACUGGCUGUGGGGUGCCCCUGAAGCUUCCAAACAUCCCCCACACUGGCCGUGGGCACCCAGCAGCUCCCUGGUGCCUCGGCACUCCCUUCUCCUAACGGCCCUGGCCAGGGUGCUCUGGGGCUAAACAAAAGAAGCUGUUAGCCUCAAACAGCAGAGACAAAGAGGGAGAUGUGUCUACUCCUUCCAUUUUGAAGGAGGGAGGGGGAGAGAGGGGGGUUUGCAUCCUGCCACACAGCCUCAUGCUACCCGGUAGAAAACCAGAAUCACUACAAUAGUCAAAAUUUUGCUCUUUUCAGUAACUUUUAAAGCAGUGUUUAAAAAUAUCAGUGAUAUACUCUUGCCAAGCUUUAAGUUUAGUGUUACUAUGAUAUUCUUCCUCUUAAAGAUGAGACAUUACAUAAAGCACACUUAAGCAGAGAUGCAAAGCAGUUACUGAUUACUGUUAGGUACAAGUCUAUUGUAAGCCACGUACUUGUCAAUGCAUUUUACCUUUCAACUCCAACUCCUCCAAAGACCACUCCCACCUACUUUUGAGCAGCCUACUCUGAAGAAAACUGUUUGCUGCUAAAUAGCCUUACAUUCCCUUAUUAUUCUGGGGAUUAAAAUUCUGAAUUAAGUUUUGUCAGACAUAAAGGACACAGACCAGAACAUCUGUACUGCACAAUGUCAUCAGGGUGACAUAAAAAAUGAAUUCUAAGCAUUAUAGGCUUAGCAAUGUCUUCACACUUCAGGAGACCUGGUCCUCCCCUUCACAGUAAAAUGCCAUAAAAAUUAUCAGAUUAUGUAGGGUCUCCAAAAUGUCAAGAUAAUAGUUAAAUUUGAUUAAUAAACUAAGUGAUACGCUUUUUAUCAAUCCAAUUAACUGGUCAGCAUCUUUGUUUCUGAACCUGCUCUUAUUAGUUUACUACUUGCAUUGUUAUAGUUGAAUUGAAUUUUGUGGGCUGUGUUUUGAUUCUGUAGACCGUAUCCAAGAUUCUUAGCUUUGAUACUGUAUCCAGGUUCAGAAUGUGCAUUCAAGCAUGAUUUUAUAUAGCCAUACCCUAUUCCUGAAAUUGACAUAGAUUUAUGACAUAUUCUUUAGAACAGGUAACUUAAAACAUACCCUAUUCUUAAGAUUGAUAUAGAUUUAUGAUAUAUUCUUUAAAACAGGUAACUUAGAAAUAACUGAUAAACAUGCGAAUGUUACUUAGCAUUGCUUAGAUAGAUAAUUGGUGUUAGAAUAGGUGUGGAAUAUGCUAAUGGUUGUCAAGAAUUGUAAUGCAUAUGUAUGUGAUCAAAUUGUAUAAAUAUGGUGUAAACUGAAUCAGUGGCUGAAGCCAGCUUUGGGUGCGAACCCCUGGUUUCCCAGCGCUGAAAUAAAGCACCGCAUAUAACUGCACCUGUGGUUAUGUGUCUUGAAUGCUAACAUUUUUGGCGACCCAGAUGGGACCUCGCGAGCAUUGCUGAGGCGGAUCGCGUCUUGAUCCUGCUCCAGCUAGCACCGAGGUAUUCUUGGGGAGCGCAUCGGACGCGACCGACCCUCUGCUGCUCACGACGGACCUCUGACUGGUAAGAAGGUGCUUUAUCUGGAUUGUUGGGUACCCACUUGGUCUGGUUCUGGUCUGGUAGCCUGCUGGUCAGGCAUCUGGUAGCCUGCCGGUCAGACGCGGCGAAAGCCACGCUCGGUUGGGCAGGGAGCUCCCGUGGUAUUGCCUAGGCAGCCGUCCGUCAGACAGAGGGAAACCUCUGCAGGUUCGGCAUCUGGUCUGGUUAUUUGUGCCGCAGGCUCGGCACCUGGUCUGGUUAUUUGUGCCGCAGGCUCGGCACCUGGUCUGGUUAUUUGUGCGCACCUGGUCUGGUUAUUUGUGCUACUCAGCACCUGGUCUGUAGUUCUGGUGAUUUAAUCUGUAUUUACUGUUGAAACCGGUGAUUUGAUCCUGUUUACUGUUGUUCUGGUAAAGUUACUGUGUUAUCUUUCUGUGUUAGUUAUCUGUAUCCUUCUCUGUUGAUAUGUCCAAUUCAAACGUAUCGCCGUCAAAUUGCUUUCUGAAACAUUAGAAGAAGGCUGGGUUUGGACAGUUUAUGCAUAAAAGAAGUGUGAUUGUGAUCUGUUUGCAUAUUUGAACUCGGUAUUCGGUUUGCAUGUCUGAGCUCAGUAUUUUAGUUUGUAUGUUUGUAUUUGGUACCAAAAGGAUUUGUUUGGGCAAAUAAUUACAAAAUAAGAACCGUUUCUGUUACUAAAGUGCCACCUUGCUCCCCCUUCAGAUGCAUCUUUACACAUGAAAGUAAAUUGAGUUAGCUGUAUUGCAGUUAGUGUUGUUUUGUGGAUAGACUGAUUUGGAUUUGGAUCUAAAAUUAAUGUCAGGGAUUGAUGUUUAGUAUGCUGUUUAUUGACAUCUGUAAGAAGUUACAAAAGGCAGGAGCUGAGGGAUGUAACUAUUGUUCAGCUAAUUGGAAUUACAUAUAAAGUUUAUAAUCACAGGAAUUAAAUGAAGAGAGAAAAAGGGCAAAAGGAGCCCAAACCUGUGCCCGGCAGCUUCUCCUUGAUAAGCUGCAGAGAGAAGGAAAAAAAAAAAAAAAAAAAAAGGUGAAAAGCUGACUGUCUGCUAAAGCGGUGGGAAAGGGGGGGGGGGGAGCGGCGGCUGCUAAGGCUGAAGCUGCAGCUCCUCUCCUCCAAGCUCGCCGCCCGCGGGGGAUCAUCCAACGUAAUAGCACCCCUGCGGUAGGCAGUAGGUGUUGGGGGGGGGAACCAGUCUAUGUAAAAGUCCCGUUUUCGCCGCGGGAUUUAGUGAUCUGGAAGCAGUCGGCUGGUCCUUAUCGGGAAAACCCAGAUAAGGUUGCAAAAGUGAUUAAGAUGAUAAUUAAGACGCAGAAUCCUGAUUGGGAUGAUUUACAAGUCAUUUUAGAUACAUUAAUGGACUCUACAGAAAAAUAUGUGGUUAUACAGGUUGCGAGGGAUAAGGUGAGAGAAGAUAUUCGGAAUGGGAAAGUAGAGGCUAACGUUGACAAGAACUUUCCAAAAGAAGAUCCCCAAUAAUACCGGAGAUACAGACAAUACAGGAGGCGGGUUAAGCCGUCUCCGGAGGUAUCAGGAUUGGUUAUUGAUUAGCGUUUAAACUGCUAUGCCGAAGCAAAUGAAUUGGUCAAAAUUGUAUGAUGUGAUGCAGGAAAACAAUGAGUCUCCCUCGGCCUUUUUAGAAAGAUUAAAAGAAGCUGCCAAAACCGGGAUGUAAAAUUUUUAGUAGACACAGGGGCUAUUUAUAGUCUCUACUGAAUUCCUUACAGGGGGCGGUAGGUCACCGAGCUACAACAAUUGUUGGUGCCACGGGGAAGGAGGAAGUACGGCCAUUCCUGCAACCUUUGGAUUUGUGUUUUGGAGAAAAGGAGCUAACCCACGAGUUCUUAUAUGUUCCAGAUUGUCCAGUUUCUCUUUUAGGACGAGAUUUGCUGACCAAAUUAGAUGCCACAAUAACAUUUGAGGAUGGAAAUUUGGUAAUGAAAGUUCCGGAGUCAAAGGUAGGACAAAUUUUACUAUUAAAGGAAAAUCCAAUUGUGAAAAUACCACAGGCAAUAGAAGAUGCAGUGAUUCCCACGGUAUGGGAAACUGACAUACCUGGGAAGUCAAAGGCAGCUAAACCUGUGAAAGUAGCGCUGAAGGAAGGUGCUGAACCAGUACGAUUAAGACACUACCCAUUGAAAUUGGAAGCCAGAUUAGGAAUAGUAUCUUUAAUUGAGAAAUUUUUGAAAUAUGGAAUUCUAGAAGAAUGUGAAUCAGAAUACAAUACUCCAAUUUUUCCAGUAAAGAAACCUGAUGGUAGCUAUCGACUAGUCCAAGACUUACGAGCAAUAAACCAGAUCACUAAGGACAUACAUCCAGUAGUUGCAAAUCCGUAUACCUUGUUAACAUCUGUGAAAGAGAAAUAUAAAUGGUUUACAGUACUUGAUUUAAAAGAUGCCUUCUUCUGCAUACCCCUUGACCAGGAAAGCAAAAGCUAUUCGCUUUUGAAUGGGAGAACCCACACAACGGGAGAAAAGCCCAAUUAACCUGGACAUGCCUUCCACAAGGAUUUAAGAAUAGUCCAACUAUCUUCGGAAAUCAACUAGCCAAAGAACUUGAGGAGUGGACUACGAGAGGCUAUAUCAGAAUUCCUCGACAAUGGUAUUUGUUGCUGCAAUAUGUGGAUGAUAUUCUGAUUGCUGCUGAGACCCAAGAACUUUGCAUUCAGGUAACAAUUGAAAUAUUGAAUCAAUUAGGAAUGAAUGGAUAUAAAGUGUCAAAAAUAAAGCUCAGAUUGCAUCCACAACUGUGAUCUAUCUAGGAUGCGAGCUUUCUCAAGGACAGCGAAGACUGAGUAUAAACCGUGUACAUGCUAUCUGUGCGAUCUCAGAACCGUGUAACUUACAUGAAUUAAGAUCUUUUCUAGGAAUGGCAGGAUGGUGCAGGCUCUGGAUCAUGGACUAUGGACUUAUUGCCAAACCUUUAUACGAGGCACAGAAGAAUAAGACCUUGGUGUGGGAAAGACCACAACAAGAAGCUUUUCAAAAAUUGAAACAGGCCUUAAUGCAAGCGCCUGCUUUGGGCCUACCUGAUCUGAGUAAAGACUUUCAGUUGUUUGUACAUGAAUGACAGAGACUUGCUCUAGGGGUAUUAAACCAACGGCUGGGAUCUUGGAAAAGGCCCGUCAGUUAUUUCUCUAAACAACUUGACCCGGUAAGUGCUGGAUGGCCGGCGUGCUUGCGGGCGGUGGCUGCUACCGUGACAUUAAUUCAGGAAGUCCGGAAACUGACUAUGGGGAAAAGGAUCGAAGUGUUUGUAUCCCAUAUGGUGACUACUGUAUUGGAACAAAAGGGGGGCCAUUGGCUUUCCCCAAGUAGGAUGAUGAAAUAUCAGGCAAUUUUAACAGAGCAGGAUGAUGUUAUCCUAAAAACAACUAACCUAAUGAAUCCAGCUGUGUUUUUAAGUGCAGAGACUGAAGAAGAAAAUCUGGAACAUGAUUGUGUGGAGGUCAUUGAAUAUACCCACGCAAGUCGACCUGACCUGAAAGAUACCCCAUUGGAGAAGACGGAUUGGGAGCUUUUUACUGACGGCAGUAGUUUUGUGGAAAGCGGAGUGCGGUAUGCAGGAUACGCGAUUACUACUGCCAAAACAGUAAUUGAAGCUAAAUCCCUACCACCAAACACAUCAGCACAGAAAGCUGAGUUGAUAGCCCUAACUAGGGCAUUAGAGCUCAGUGAGGACAACAGGGUCAAUAUUUGGACUGACUCAAAAUAUGCAUUCGGGGUUGUUCAUGUACAUGGAGCUCUUUGGAAAGAGCGUGGACUACUCUCCUUCCAAGGAACAAACAUCAAGUACCAAAAAGAAAUAUUGAACUUGAUUAAUGCCGUUCAAAAGCCAUCACUAGUUGCCAUCAUGCACUGUAAAGCUCAUCAGAGUGGGACAUCAACAAUUAUUGAAGGAAACCGACUUGCUGAUCAAACAGCCCGAUCAGUGGCAUGACGAGUCUGGAUGAUGGUGGGUCUUGUCUCCCAAAAGGUAAGAGCAAUUGAUUUAUUACCUACACCUUCAGAGGCACCUGAAUAUUCUACAGAAGAUGAGAAAUUGGCAAGACUAGUAAAAGCCGUCAAGGAUAAUUCUGGAUGGUAUGUAACCACCAACGGACAAAUUGUGGUCCCGAUCACAAUUAUGAGAGGGAUACUUCAGGCGGAGCACCAGAAGUGUCAUUGGGGUGCAGAAGCAUUGGUAACUUAUCUAAGAAAACAAAUUAUCUCGGUCCAGAUGUUAACAAUGGCAAAAUCUUUCACAGCUAAGUGUGAAAUUUGCUUGAGAAAUAAGCCUUUAGUUCGAAGAAAAGUAGAUAUGGGAAAAAUUAGGACAGGUGUACAACCAGGGGAUUGUUGGCAGAUAGAUUAUGUGGAACUCCCCAAAACUCGAGGAUUCAGAUAUCUGCUAGUUGGGGUAUGCACCUUUUCAGGAUGGCCAGAAGCCUUCCCUUGUCGCACCAACCAGGCACAAGAAACUGUAAAAUGGUUACUGAAGGAAAUAAUUCCUAGAUUUGGAGUACCAUUGGGAAUAUCAUCUGAUAGGGGACCGCAUUUUGUUGCUCAAGUGGUAAAGGAAGUCAGUAGAUGUUUGGGAAUUAAAUGGGAAUUACAUACCCCAUGGAGACCCCAGUCUAGUGGCCAGGUGGAGAAAAUGAAUCAGACGUUAAAACGACAACUUAGCAAAAUUUGCCAGGAAGCAAAAAUUCAGUGGCCCCAGGCCUUACCAAUAGCGUUAUUGCGAAUUAGGAUUAAACCUAGGAGUGGAAUGUCCGUAAGCCCAUACGAAAUUCUGUAUGGCAGACCAUAUGAAGCACCUGAUCCGAAUCCAAGUGUACAUGUAAAAGGUAAUCAGGAUGUGUACAAUUAUGUGUUGUCUCUCGGCAGGACAUUGAAUCGACUCAGAUCUGUACUAGUGUGGAAUCGCCCACUAGCACUUGAGAAUCCGGUACAUGAUAUAGAACCUGGAGACACAGUGUAUAUAAAGACUUGGAGAGAAGAUCCUUUAAAAGAACGUUGGGACGGACCUUAUCAAGUACUUUUAACUACAUUUACCGCAAUCAAGGUUGCUGAAAUAGACUCCUGGAUACAUUACACCCGAGUGAAGAAAGUCCCAAAACUGUGGCAAUCACGAUUAGUGGGUCCAACCACACUUAAAAUCACAACGCAGGAUGUCUAACUUUUGUUACCGUUUUGUUUUUAUAGUAGUUUAUGUACCCAGACUGUAUGCCACACUGAUUUGCAAAGUCACUGGAGAACAAUUAUGUAAAACACGAAGGGCUAUAGGAGAUAGUGACGAUACUCAAAUGCCACAAGUAGUACAGAGUGUACAGAAUCAGGCAGAGAAUCUGAUGAUAGGACUAAUUCGAGAUUUUGCACAAACCCAAAAUGUCAGUAGCAUCACUGCUUGUCUUCCCAUCCCAAAAUCAGCUGAAGAUCCGGUACAGUGGGGAAUAAUAUCUACGACCUUACCAGAAGUAAAUAAGACUGGUAAGAUAGUGUGUGAGUCCCAUACUAAAAUAGAGCAAGUACCAAUUGAACAACGGACAAAAGAGCUUGUUAAGAAUGCCAUGAUAAAAAGAGGUGACUGCUUAAAGUUGCCAGGAGCAGAAUUUGUAAAGAUAUGAUGAUUUCAUAAUAUUGGGUAUUGCACGUAUGAAAAGUGGACCACCAAAACAGUAUAUGAAAAGGUUGAGCGAGCCUAUUGGGAAUGUAAAGAUCAGGAUAAUCAGAACAUAACUGAAUCAUGGGAUAACAUGUGGACGUUGAGUAUAGUACAGCAAUAUCAAUAUAGCGAAGCAUUUCCAUGGUGUAUACGAUGGACCAAUGUAACAAGAGGAGUAACAGUACCGUGGUGGAAUUGCUCUCAAGUAAUGACCUGCCAGACAGAUGUGAAAGAAAUACCUCUGUCCAUCAUUAAAGUUGCAGUAAUCGCAGGUUGCAUUUGUCAGAAACAAUUGGAUCCAAAGGAAGCAAUCAAAAUAGGCAUUGAUGGAGAUAAGAUAGAUUGUAGAGGAACUAUAGGUAGUGUGGGACAUUUGGUUUGGGCCUUAAGUGAUGGAACCUGGACAACACAUUUACUGAUAGCAGGACCAGUAAGGGAGGUUACUUUGGGGUUACCAACCCUAUGUCCCAUUUGGAAAAGGUCACCCUUGAAGAAUAGGCAAGAACUCCUACAAGUUAGGUACAAACGAGAGAUAGAUGAAGAUGAUGUGUGGCAUGAACCAUUGGGUAGUGUUAAAUUCGGCUGGGCAUUAGAAUCUUUCUUUGCACCAAUCGCAGCCUAUAGAAACAGAGAAAUGAUUGACAGAUUAAUUGGACAGAUGGAUCGAUUGGCAAGGGUAACCAAAAAGGGUUUUCGAGAAUUCAAUAUACAAUUGCAAGCUACGACCAAAAUGACUUUGCAGAACAGAAUGGCACUUGACAUAAUGUUGCUAAAAGAAAAUGGGGUUUGUGGAUAUUUAAAAGAUAGGGUUGAUCAUUGCUGCAUUCAUAUCCCAAACGUAACCUCUGAAGUGGAAAAAGAUAUUUCCCAAUUAACCCAAACAGAAAAAGAACUGCAAGCGGAAAAACAAGAUGUAGAGCAGAGCUGGGUUGGGGCCUUGCUAGGCAAAUUGAACCUGAACCUGGGAGGAUGGGUACAUUAGUUAUUGGAGAGUUUAUUUUUGCUUGCCAUUAUAGUUGCUCUUUUCUUUUUGCUUUAUGCUUGUAUUAAGCAUCAAAUAAGUCAAUCAAAGGCAAGGAACGACCGCAUCUUUACUGUCCUUAGCAGAUCCACUUUUGACAACCCUCCAGCUUAUAAGGAAAAUAUAAUGUAGUGAAAAUGCAUUGUCUAGGAAUAGAAAAGCAUUUUCAAAGGGGGGAAAUGUUAUAGUUGAAUUGAAUUUUGUGGGCUGUGUUUUGAUUCUGUAGACCGUAUCCAAGAUUCUUAGCUUUGAUACUGUAUCCAGGUUCAGAAUGUGCAUUCAAGCAUGAUUUUAUAUAGCCAUACCCUAUUCCUGAAAUUGACAUAGAUUUAUGACAUAUUCUUUAGAACAGGUAACUUAAAACAUACCCUAUUCUUAAGAUUGAUAUAGAUUUAUGAUAUAUUCUUUAAAACAGGUAACUUAGAAAUAACUGAUAAACAUGCGAAUGUUACUUAGCAUUGCUUAGAUAGAUAAUUGGUGUUAGAAUAGGUGUGGAAUAUGCUAAUGGUUGUCAAGAAUUGUAAUGCAUAUGUAUGUGAUCAAAUUGUAUAAAUAUGGUGUAAACUGAAUCAGUGGCUGAAGCCAGCUUUGGGUGCGAACCCCUGGUUUCCCAGCGCUGAAAUAAAGCACCGCAUAUAACUGCA